AUUGAACGCUGGCGGCAGGCUUAACACAUGCAAGUCGAGCGAGCGGCGGACGGGUUAGUAAUGUCUGGGAAACUGCCUGAUGGAGGGGGAUAACUACUGGAAACGGUAGCUAAUACCGCAUACCAUCAGAUGUGCCCAGAUGGGAGUAGCUAGUAGUUGGGGGAAUGGUUCACCUAGGCGACGAUCCCUAGCUGGUCUGAGAGGAUGACCAGCCACAUUGGAACUGAGACACGGUCCAGCCUCCUACUGGAGGCAGUAGUGGGGAAGAUGGCACAAUGGGAGAAAGCCUGAUGCACCCAUGCCGCGUGGGAGAAGACGGCCUUCGGGUUGUAAAGCUCUUUCAGCGAGGAGGCGUUACUCGCAGAAGAAGCACCGGCUAACCCCGUGCCAGCAGCCGCGGUAAUUC
rnacentral:rRNA from 1 species